UGCGUAGGUGGUAUGGCAAGUCAGAAGUGAAAACCCAGGGCUUAACUCUGGGACUGCUUUUGAAACUGUCAGACUAGAGUGCAGGAGAGGUAAGCGGAAUUCCUAGUGUAGCGGUGAAAUGCGUAGAUAUUAGGAGGAACAUCAGUGGCGAAGGCGGCUUACUGGACUGAAACUGACACUGAGGCACGAAAGCGUGGGAGGCAAACA
rnacentral:rRNA from 1 species